UUGGGAAUAUUGGACAAUGGGGGAAACCCUGAUCCAGCAAUGCCGCGUGAAUGCUGAAGGCCUUCGGGUCGUAAAGUUCUUUUAGCAGGGAAGAAGGCCCUUUCAUAAGUAAGGGCGUGACUGUACCUGCAGAAAAAGCACAGGCUAACUCCGUGCCAGCAGCAGCGGUAAUACGGAGGGUGCAGGCGUUGACCGUAAUUCGUGUGCGUAAAGCGCGGGGAGGCGGCUUGAUAAGUAUGGUGGGAAAGC
rnacentral:rRNA from 1 species